rnacentral:rRNA from 1 species
AAAUUGAAGAGUUUGAUCAUGGCUCAGAUUGAACGCUGGCGGCAGGCCUAACACAUGCAAGUCGAACGGUAACAGGAAACAGCUUGCUGUUUCGCUGACGAGUGGCGGACGGGUGAGUAAUGUCUGGGAAACUGCCUGAUGGAGGGGGAUAACUACUGGAAACGGUAGCUAAUACCGCAUAACGUCGCAAGACCA